GUUAUGGCUCAGAGGUACAGCGCUUGCCUAGCAUACUUGAGGCACUGGGUUCGAUCCUCAGCACUACA
rnacentral:tRNA from 1 species